rnacentral:rRNA from 1 species
CAGUCGCCGCGGUAAUACAGAGGGUGCGAGCGUUAAUCGGAUUUAUUGGGUUUAAAGGGUCCGUAGGCGGAUCUGUAAGUCAGUGGUGAAAUCUCACAGCUUAACUGUGAAACUGCCAUUGAUACUGCAGGUCUUGAGUAAAUUUGAAGUGGCUGGAAUAAGUAGUGUAGCGGUGAAAUGCAUAGAUAUUACUUAGAACACCAAUUGCGAAGGCAGGUCACUAAGAUUUAACUGACGCUGAUGGACGAAAGCGUGGGGAGCGAACAGGAUUAGAUACCCGAGUAGUCCCUGUCUCUUAUAC